UUGCAUAACAAAUUUUUUUCCUUUCUCAAUACUGCUUUUCCCGCCUGUUUGCAACAAGACGAACGUCCAACUUUCAUACAAAUACGAAUUCAUUGACUGGAAAUGGAUAAACAAAAUUGGCAUCUCUUUAGGUCUCUGUUUUAAAGUUGAAUCCCAUCUUUCUUAAAAGUCAAACAUCCAUUCAUAAUUUCCUAGCUGAAUAAUAGCAAUGACUUGAAUUAAGAGGAAGGAGAGAAAAUUUUGAGUCUGGCUCACGAAUAAAGUCAUUUGCAC
rnacentral:lncRNA from 1 species